CGCGCAGUUCCCCGCUCCUUUCUCCUCCCCCGCACCGCAGCCGGGAGCUCAUUAAUGCCCAUUUAUAUGCUCGUUUCACACAUGAAAGUAUCACAUUAAUGAGCUCCGGGAGCGGGCUGGGAGGGGGGUUUGCGCACCUUAUAGCCCGAAAUUCCAGUUCCCAUCCCCAGCGCCGCGACUCUGCGGGACACCCGAGAGCAGCGCGGCGGGGGCGGCCCGGGGGAGCUGAGGAGCUGGGGCAGGGCAGGAGAGUUUGGGACGGGGCUGCGCCUCGGGCAGGGGGUUCUCCGGGCUGCGGGUACAGCGCUGUGCCCCGGGGAUGCCCCACGGCCCGGGGGGAGCCGCGUGAUGCCCAUCCCAGGGGUCACGCACCCCAGGACGCGGAUCGGCCGCGCUCAGCAGCCGCUGCGCAUCCGAGAGAAGCGCUGCAGUUCCGCGGCCUCGGCCGCCACCGCGUGGGCGCAGCCGGAGGCGCAGCUCCCCCCUCAAACAACCCGUCGGGGCAGCGCGGCCCGAGCCCCGCUCGGCUCCAGGUGGGUUCCGCAGCCCGGGGUUGGGCUCAGCUGGGCGCGUUGGGCAGCGGGAGCGGAUCGCCAGCACCUGGGGCAGGGAGGGGGCAUAAAAACCAACGGGUGGCAGUUCAACCUCCUCCCCUGGGCUCCCUUCUGUCCUUGGAGCUUUGCUUUUGCUCUGAGGAGAACUCCCGUGGUUUCUUUGGGGACGUCAGUUGAGUUGCAGUGCUUGACCUUAAUGGCAUCUCGUGUACGUGCAGGGAGAAAACAGAACUGUUUUGGUUUUGUGGGAAGCACAUCUGGCAGCUGCGUAUUUCUUAUCGGCCUGCAGAAAACACUCCGAACAGAAAGAUUGCUAUUGAACGCUGAUGGGCUGCCUAAAAUGACCUCCAGAGCCUACGGAGUGCACCAUGGAUUUAUAAAAGAUCAAUGAUAGCCCAUUAUGUUCUGGGUUGUAUCCGAGUUCAUCAUCCCAGGGACUCUGUGCUUCCUGAAGGAGACCCGUGGAAAUGUGGUGGACUCAAAACAGGGACAGAGUAAGAGCAGAACGCUGCUUCUCUGGUGUUAUUUAUCUCUGCAGCUGAACAAGCUGAGGUGGGGAUGGUGGCUGGGAAAUGUAAAGGCAGGGGGGAACGGCCCUGGCUGUUCUUUGAGCACUGGAUUGAAAUCAAUGUAGAUAAUGCACUUGGAAGGACUGCUUUGUUUAUUGGUUUUCAGUCAACUGCCGGGCUGUGUUUCGCAGUGGUGAUGUGAUGGUGAUGUCUUUGCCAGUAAGAAUAUACCUGGGGGAAAAUAAGUCCACGAUUCCUUGCAAGCAACAUUUGGGGAGCUUAGUCUGGGAUGCCUCAGUUUUCUGUACCAAGGAGUGCAUAUCUAGGGCUGCUGUGUCUCUCUCCUGGCAGUACAACGUGCUUCUGAGCUCUCUGCAGCCCAUUCUGAAGGCCCAACAAACCCUAUUUCAACACAAAAUAUGUUGGGCAGUGUGAGAUGCCACCCCUCACUCACUGCAGCCCUACACACACACCCCAGCACAGCAGAGCUGUUCUCUAACCACCGCUCUCCCUCUUCUUUAGCAGCCUCGAUUUUGGCCCCUGGAAAUCAGUGAUAAACUCCCAGUGACUCCAAUGCUGCUGAAUUAGGCCUAGGGUCCAAUUAUGCUCAUUAAAAGCACAAACCAAUAAUUCACGGUUCGAAGUAGGCUUGCUAUGGACAACACCAGUGGGGAUUUAAUGCGCUAUACUGGAGACGAUGCUUAAAUUUUCCUAUUUAUAUAUGCUUUGGGAGAACAAUUUUAUGGGUAAAUAUGAUCUUCAUUAAUA